rnacentral:rRNA from 1 species
AUUGAACGCUGGCGGCAUGCCUUACACAUGCAAGUCGAACGGUAACAGGUCUUCGGAUGCUGACGAGUGGCGAACGGGUGAGUAAUACAUCGGAACGUGCCCGAGAGUGGGGGAUAACGAGGCGAAAGCUUUGCUAAUACCGCAUACGAUCUCAGGAUGAAAGCAGGGGACCGCAAGGCCUUGCGCUCACGGAGCGGCCGAUGGCAGAUUAGGUAGUUGGGGGGAUAAAAGCUUACCAAGCCGACGAUCUGUAGCUGGUCUGAGAGGACGACCAGCCACACUGGGACUGAGACACGGCCCAGACUCCUACGGGAGGCAGCAGUGGGGAAUUUUGGACAAUGGGCGCAAGCCUGAUUCAGCCAUGCCGCGUGCAGGAUGAAGGCCUUCGGGUUGUAAACUGCUUUUGUACGGAACGAAAAGACUCUGGUUAAUACCUGGGGUCCAUGACGGUACCGUAAGAAUAAGCACCGGCUAACUACGUGCCAGCAGCCGCGGUAAAAC